CCUACGGGCGGCUGCAGUGGGGAAUAUUGCACAAUGGGCGCAAGCCUGAUGCAGCCAUGCCGCGUGUGUGAAGAAGGCCUUCGGGUUGUAAAGCACUUUCAGCGGGGAGGAAGGCGUUAAGGUUAAUAACCUUGUCGAUUGACGUUACCCGCAGAAGAAGCACCGGCUAACUCCGUGCCAGCAGCCGCGGUAAUACGGAGGGUGCAAGCGUUAAUCGGAAUUACUGGGCGUAAAGCGCACGCAGGCGGUCUGUCAAGUCGGAUGUGAAAUCCCCGGGCUCGACCUGGGAACUGCAUUCGAAACUGGCAGGCUAGAGUCUUGUAGAGGGGGGUAGAAUUCCGGGUGUAGCGGUGAAAUGCGUAGAGAUCUGGAGGAAUACCGGUGGCGAAGGCGGCCCCCUGGACAAAGACUGACGCUCAGGUGCGAAAGCGUGGGGAGCAAACAGGAUUAGAUACCUUGUAGUC
rnacentral:rRNA from 1 species